AGGACACUUAGUGGCGGACGGGUGAGUAACGCGUGGGUAACCUGCCUUACACAGGGGGAUAACACCUGGAAACAGGUGCUAAUACCGCAUAAGCGCACAGGGCCGCAUGGCCCGGUGUGAAAAACUCCGGUGGUGUAAGAUGGACCCGCGUCUGAUUAGCUUGUUGGCGGGGUAGGGGCCCACCAAGGCGACGAUCAGUAGCCGGCCUGAGAGGGUGGACGGCCACAUUGGGACUGAGACACGGCCCAAACUCCUACGGAAGGCAGCAG
rnacentral:rRNA from 1 species